AAUAAAUUUUUUAUGAUUUAUAAAAUUUAAUUUAAGUUUAUUUUACAUAUAAAUUUUAGUAUGAAUUUUUAAUUAUUUUAAUAAUUUUUAAAAAUUAAUUUAUAGUAAUUAAUAUUAAAAAUUUAAGAAAUUAAGAUUUAGUAAUAUUUGAAGUUAUUAACAAAUUUUGUGCCAGCAGUUGCGGUUAAACAAAAAAUAAUUUAAAUUUUAUUGGUAAAUAAUAAAUAUUAAAAUAUUAUAUAUAUAUAUAUAUAUAUAUAUUUAAAUUAUGAAUUAAAUAGUAAAUUAUUAGGUGAAAUUUUAAUUUAUUUAAAAUUUUAUUAGAUAAUAUGAUUUAUAAAAUUUUUUAAAAAACUAGAAUUAGAUACUCUAUUAUUAAAAAUUAAAUAAAAAUACUAAAAUAGUAUAUAAUUAUUUGUUGAAACUUAAAUAAUUUGGCGGUAUUUUAGUUCAUUUAGAGGAAUCUGUUUAAUAAUUGAUAUUCCACGAAUAAAUUUACUUAAUUUAUAUAAUAAUUUAUAUUUUGUAUAUCGUUGUUAAAAAAAUAUUUUUUAAUAAAAAUAAUAUUUUAAAAUUUAAAAAAUAAAUUAAUUCAGAUCAAGAUGCAGAUUAUAAUUAAGAAUAUAAUGGAUUACAAUAAGGAAUGAUUAAAUGAAUAAUAUUUUUUAAAAGAUAUUUAAAGGUGGAUUUAAAUGUAAUUUUAUUUAAUUUAUUAGAAUGAUUAAAAAUUGGAAUAUGUACAUAUUGCCCGUCGCUUUCAUUAAUAAAUUGGAAUAAGUCGUAACAAAGUAGAGGUACUGGAAAGUGUUUCUAGAAAGAU
rnacentral:ncRNA from 1 species